GCGAAUGAUGAGGAGCUUGCUCCUCUGAUUUAGCGGCGGACGGGUGAGUAACACGUGGGUAAUCUGCCUGUAAGACGGGGAUAACUCCGGGAAACCGGGGCUAAUACCGGAUAAUAAGAGAAGAAGCAUUUCUUCUUUUUGAAAGUCGGUUUCGGCUGACACUUACAGAUGAGCCCGCGGCGCAUUAGCUAGUUGGUGAGGUAACGGCUCACCAAGGCGACGAUGCGUAGCCGACCUGAGAGGGUGAUCGGCCACACUGGGACUGAGACACGGCCCAGACUCCUACGGGAGGCAGCAGUAGGGAAUCUUCGGCAAUGGGCGAAAGCCUGACCGAGCAACGCCGCGUGAGCGAUGAAGGCCUUCGGGUCGUAAAGCUCUGUUGUUAGAGAAGAACAAGUACGAGAGUAACUGCUCGUACCUUGACGGUACCUAACCAGAAAGCCACGGCUAACUACGUGCCAGCAGCCGCGGUAAUACGUAGGUGGCAAGCGUUAUCCGGAAUUAUUGGGCGUAAAGCGCGCGCAGGCGGUCUCUUAAGUCUGAUGUGAAAGCCCACGGCUCAACCGUGGAGGGUCAUUGGAAACUGGGAGACUUGAGUGCAGGAGAGAAAAGUGGAAUUCCACGUGUAGCGGUGAAAUGCGUAGAGAUGUGGAGGAACACCAGUGGCGAAGGCGGCUUUUUGGCCUGUAACUGACGCUGAGGCGCGAAAGCGUGGGGAGCAAACAGGAUUAGAUACCCUGGUAGUCCACGCCGUAAACGAUGAGUGCUAGGUGUUGGGGGGUUCCACCCUCAGUGCUGAAGUUAACACAUUAAGCACUCCGCCUGGGGAGUACGACCGCAAGGUUGAAACUCAAAGGAAUUGACGGGGGCCCGCACAAGCAGUGGAGCAUGUGGUUUAAUUCGAAGCAACGCGAAGAACCUUACCAGGUCUUGACAUCCUUUGACCACUCUAGAGAUAGAGCUUUCCCCUUCGGGGGACAAAGUGACAGGUGGUGCAUGGUUGUCGUCAGCUCGUGUCGUGAGAUGUUGGGUUAAGUCCCGCAACGAGCGCAACCCUUGACCUUAGUUGCCAGCAUUCAGUUGGGCACUCUAAGGUGACUGCCGGUGACAAACCGGAGGAAGGUGGGGACGACGUCAAAUCAUCAUGCCCCUUWUGACCUGGG
rnacentral:rRNA from 1 species